CUCAUCUUCUUCCUCUAGCUGCUUUUGCUCUCUAUCUCACUCUUUGCUUCUGCAACUCACAGUCAAUGGCGGCUGAAAUGGCGUUAGUGAAACCCAUCUCCAAGUUCUCUUCCCCAAAGCUCUCAAACCCGAGCAAAUUCCUCUCCGGCCGACGUUUCUCCACCGUGAUCAGAAUGUCAGCCUCUUCCUCACCGCCUCCUCCAACCACCGCCACCUCGAAGUCCAAGAAGGGAACGAAGAAAGAGAUUCAAGAGUCGCUUCUUACUCCGAGGUUCUACACGACGGACUUCGAGGAAAUGGAACAGCUUUUCAACACGGAGAUCAACAAGAACCUUAACGAAGCAGAGUUCGAGGCUCUGCUUCAAGAGUUCAAGACCGAUUACAACCAGACACAUUUCGUGAGGAACAAGGAGUUUAAAGAAGCUGCAGACAAAUUGCAAGGACCUCUCCGACAGAUCUUCGUUGAGUUCCUUGAGCGGUCUUGUACUGCUGAGUUCUCUGGUUUCCUUCUCUACAAGGAGCUUGGUCGAAGACUCAAGGUGAGAAUUUAAGAAUAUAUAUGGCUUUAAGUAAUAGUCAAGUCUCAAUUGUUAUGAGUUUUCAAGUGUGGUUGUUGGUUUGAUGUUCCUUGUCUACGUUAUGCUUGAAGCUAUGCUCAUUAGGUGGAAGUUAGAGCACAUGUGAGACUUGUUGUUGUUUCUUUGGAUCAUUUUAUUGGCUUGAUUUUGAAUCUUUGAUCUGAUGGCAUUGCAGAAAACAAACCCUGUUGUGGCUGAGAUCUUCUCUCUUAUGUCUAGAGAUGAAGCAAGACAUGCCGGGUAAGAUCUCUUAACACUAAGGACCUCUCUUUUUAAUCUAAGUGUUUCAAUUUUGAUGAUAAACUUUUUUUGGCAGGUUCUUGAACAAGGGAUUGUCUGAUUUCAACUUGGCUCUUGAUUUGGGUUUCCUGACAAAGGCAAGGAAAUACACUUUCUUCAAGCCAAAAUUCAUCUUCUACGCGACUUACUUAUCCGAGAAAAUCGGGUACUGGAGAUACAUCACAAUCUACAGACACCUCAAGGAAAACCCUGAGUUCCAAUGUUACCCAAUCUUCAAGUACUUUGAGAACUGGUGUCAAGACGAGAACCGUCAUGGUGAUUUCUUCUCUGCUUUGAUGAAAGCUCAGCCUCAGUUCCUCAAUGACUGGCAAGCCAAGCUCUGGUCUCGCUUCUUCUGCCUCUCGGUAAUUAAACUAAACUCUCUUUAGUUCUCA
rnacentral:sRNA from 1 species